GACGAACGCUGGCGGCGUGCUUAACACAUGCAAGUCGAACGGAAAGGCCUGCUUUCCCUUGUGGAUUGCGGGUACUCGAGUGGCGAACGGGUGAGUAACACGUGAGUGAUCUGCCCCCAACUUGGGUAUAAGCCUGGGAAACUGGGUCUAAUUCCCGAUAGGACUGCAGGGUGGUGCCUGUGGUGGAAAACGAUUUUCUAGUGGUUGGGGAUGAGCUCGCGGCCUAUCAGCUUGUUGGUGGGGUAAUGGCCUACCAAGGCGGCGACGGGUAGCCGGCCUGGGAGAGUGGACGGCCACAUUUGAACUGAGAUACUGCCCAGACUCCUACGGGAGGCAGCAGUGGGGAGUAUUGCACAAUGGGCGGAAGCCUGAUGCAGCGACGCCGCGUGGGGGAUGACGGCCUUCGGGUUGUAAACUCCUUUCGGCCGCGAGGAAGCCACCUGGUUGGAAGGGUGGUGACGGUAGUGGUAGAAGAAGCACCGGCUAACUACGUG
rnacentral:rRNA from 1 species